CUUUGUGUUUCCUGCUUCAGCAAUAUCUUAAGGCAGAACUAAGUACAUAAAAUCGUGGAGGUACAAGGCGUUCUCGCAUGAAAGAUUAAACACUGUCACAUUUGCCAAGAUCAUUGCCGGCCAAGUAUUAAAACUGCUUUGUGCCAAUGAAAAGUCAGAGGCUUUAGUGUAAGGAAGCAUUCUGUCCUUGACAUUACAUUUGACAUUUAUACUUAGCACAUUUAAAAGAAAAGUCUUGGGUUGAAUUUACCACUCACUUUGGUAAAACAAAUUAAGAACUCACUAAACGGACAGUAUGAGUACCAAAAUCACUUCAUAUUAAUUAAGUGAAUUUGAGACAUAGUUGCUGCCUGUUUCUGAGAAAUGACAGUUUCC